rnacentral:ncRNA from 1 species
AAGAAUGAGUGAGUUUGCUAGAGCUGCAUUUUCCAGGCGACGUUUGCAAUUGCAGGAAGGAAUUGUAUGAAUGAUGAUGGAUGGUAGAUGUGAGAAUGUGGGGGUACGAAUGUGGGGGUGUUUCUGAAUGGUAAUUUUUGUUGAACAUUGUGUUGUGAUGGGGCUACCAACCCUUAACUGUUUUGGAGUUUAAAUUGGAAGUGCCCUUCUGGUACGAGGCCUGACCGGAGGCUUUUAAUCUGGUACCACGGGUAACCAGGAGCCCACGGAACUUGUUCCGUCCUGGUUAGUUGGUGCGGCCCUUCGGGGAGUAUCGUGGUGGUUGUGGUUUAACACCCAAAUGCGGGUAGAGCAUCGCUCGACGUGGAGUUGCGUCAUACAACCGGGUUCCGUGACCCAGAUUACGGAAGAGGCUUAGAUAGUCCUCGUGCCAAACCAAGGUAGAAGUCACAACCAAACAGUCGUGUCUUUAAUUGGUACCUGCGGAAUUGUUCCAAGGGGGCGGUGAUUGACGCUUGAAUUAAUCCUAUACUAGGAACCGUGAGAUUAAGCCAUCGCGGCAGGUGCUCACGUUAAGCCCACUGACUUUCAUGUCCCUAUCUACUAUCUAGCGAAACCACAGCCAAGGGAACGGGCUUGGAAUAAUUAGCGGGGAAAGAAGACCCUUUUGAGCUUGACUCUAAUCUGGCAGUGUAAGGAGACAUAAGAGGUGUAGAAUAAGUGGGAGAUAUUAGACUUCGGUUUGGUAUCGACAAUGAAAUACCACUACUCUUAUUGUUUCCUUACUUACUUGAUUAAAUGGAACGUGUAUCAUUUCCUAGCCAUUAUACGGAUAUAAUUAUUAUGUCUUAUGGUAUUGGGUUUUGAUGCAAGCUUCUUGAUCAAAGUAUCACGAGUUUGUUAUAUAAUCGCAAACAAAUUCUUUAAUGAGAGAAUGCAUUUAUGUAUUAUUGAUUUAAAAAUUUGGUAUAACUCCAAUUACUCAGGUAUGAUCCAAUUCAAGGACAUUGCCAGGUAGGGAGUUUGACUGGGGCGGUACAUCUCUCAAAUAAUAACGGAGGUGUCCCAAGGCCAGCUCAGUGCGGACAGAAACCACACAUAGAGCAAAAGGGCAAAUGCUGACUUGAUCUCGGUGUUCAGUACACACAGGGACAGCCAAAGCUCGGCCUAUCGAUCCUUUUGGUUAAAGAGU